UACGUUCCCGGGCUUGUACACACCGCCCGUCACACCACGAAAGUCGGCAACACCCGAAAGCCGGUGGCCUAACCCCUUGUGGGAAGGAGCCGUCGAAGGUGGGGUCGGUGAUUGGGGUG
rnacentral:rRNA from 1 species